rnacentral:rRNA from 1 species
GAUGAACGCUGGCGGCGUGCCUAAUACAUGCAAGUCGAGCGAACGGACGAGAAGCUUGCUUCUCUGAUGUUAGCGGCGGACGGGUGAGUAACACGUGGAUAACCUACCUAUAAGACUGGGAUAACUUCGGGAAACCGGAGCUAAUACCGGAUAAUAUUUUGAACCGCAUGGUUCAAAAGUGAAAGACGGUCUUGCGGUCACUUAUAGAUGGAUCCGCGCUGCAUUAGCUAGUUGGUAAGGUAACGGCUUACCAAGGCAACGAUGCAUAGCCGACCUGAGAGGGUGAUCGGCCACACUGGAACUGAGCCACGGUCCAGACUCCUACGGGAGGCAGCAGUAGGGAAUCUUCCGCAAUGGGCGAAAGCCUGACGGAGCAACGCCGCGUGAGUGAUGAAGGUCUUCGGAUCGUAAAACUCUGUUAUUAGGGAAGAACAUAUGUGUAAGUAACUGUGCACAUCUUGACGGUACCUACUCAGAAAGCCACGGCUAACUACGUG